rnacentral:rRNA from 1 species
AUGGGCGCUCUGAUGUCCUGCAUGUCCGGCACGUCCCCCUCCGACUCCCCGCCGCAGGCCAAGCGCCGCUCCUCCGCGUCCUCCCGCCGCGGCGGCAAGGCCGCGGAGAUCGACGAGCAGGCGCUGGCCGCCGCCGCGGCGCUCGUGCUGGGGCAGCGCGGAGGGGGAGGCGCGUUCGACCGGUCCGCGUCGGUGCGGUACGCCGCGAAGCGGCAGCAGCAGGGCCCGCCGCUGCCCAGGAGCUCCAGCACGCGCCCGCGCUCCCUCGCCGACCCCGAGCUCCAGCCGCAGCACCUCCUCGCCAAGGAGUUGAAUACUAAAGAUUUGGAAACCAACAUAAUUGUUCUUGUUCACGGAGGCUCCGGGAUUAAUUCUUCUGACACAAACAAGAUUAGCAGUCUUUCAGAGUAUGCUGAGCCACUUACAUCUUACCUUAAGGGCCUAGGUGAUGCUGAAAAGGUUAUCUUGGUUGGACAUGAUUUUGGGGGUGCUUGCAUAUCCCAUGCGAUGGAGAUGUUUCCAUCGAAAGUUGCCAAGGCUGUUUUCCUGUGUGCAACAAUGCUGACAAAUGGACAUAGUGCUCUUGAUAUCUUCCAACAACAGAUGGAUACAAAUGGUAUGCUCCAAAAGGCACAGGAAUUAGUAUACUCCAAUGGCAAGGACCGGCCUCCCACCGCUAUCAACAUCGACAGGGCUUCAGUAAGAGAUCUAUUAUUCAACCAAAGUCCUGCCAAGGAUGUGUCCUUGGCUUCAGUGUCCAUGAGACCUAUCCCCUUUGCCCCGGUAAUGGAGAAACUCACGCUAACAGAAGGGAACUACGGAUCCGUGCGGCGAUUCUUUGUCGAGACAACGGAGGACAACGCGAUACCCCUUUCCCUUCAGCAGAGCAUGUGUGUGAGUAACCCGCCAGAGAAGGUCCUGCGGCUGAAAGGUUCAGACCACGCCCCUUUCUUCUCGAGGCCGCAGGCGUUGCACAAAACGCUGGUAGAGAUAGCAACCCUGCCGCGAGCACAGGCAUCAUGA